AUUGAACGCUGGCGGCAUGCCUUACACAUGCAAGUCGAACGGCAGCACGGGUGCUUGCCCCUGGUGGCGAGUGGAGAACGGGUGAGUAAUACAUCGGAACAUGUCCUGUAGUGGGGGAUAGCCCGGCGAAAGCCGGAUUAAUACCGCAUACGAUCUACGGAUGAAAGCGGGGGACCUUCGGGCCUCGCGCUAUAGGGUUGGCCGAUGGCUGAUUAGCUAGUUGGUGGGGUAAAGGCCUACCAAGGCGACGAUCAGUAGCUGGUCUGAGAGGACGACCAGCCACACUGGGACUGAGACACGGCCCAGACUCCUACGGGAGGCAGCAGUGGGGAAUUUUGGACAAUGGGCGAAAGCCUGAUCCAGCAAUGCCGCGUGUGUGAAGAAGGCCUUCGGGUUGUAAAGCACUUUUGUCCGGAAAGAAAUCCUUGGCUCUAAUACAGUCGGGGGAUGACGGUACCGGAAGAAUAAGCACCGGCUAACUACGUG
rnacentral:rRNA from 1 species